UACGGAGGGGCGAGCGUUGUCCGAAGUUACUGGGCGUAAAGCGCGCGUAGGCGGGUGGGUAAGUCCGCUGUGAAAGCCCGGAGCUUAACUCCGGAGGGUCGGUGGAUACUGCCCAUCUUGAAGGUGCUAGGGGAGAUGGAAUUACCGGUGUAGCGGUGAAAUGCGUAGAGAUCGGUAGGAACACCAGUGGCGAAGGCGGUCUCCUGGAGCAAUACUGACGCUCAUGUGCGAAAGCGUGGGGAGCAAACAGG
rnacentral:rRNA from 1 species